GGCCUACGGGGGGCAGCAGUGGGGGAUAUUGCACAAUGGGGGGAACCCUGAUGCAGCGACGCCGCGUGGGUGAAGGAGUGCUUCGGCAUGUAAAGCCCUAUCGGCAGGGAAGAAGCAAGACGGUACCUGACUAAGAAGCCCCGGCUAACUACGUGCCAGCAGCCGCGGUAAUACGUAGGGGGCAAGCGUUGUUCGGAAUGACUGGGCGUAAAGGGUGUGUAGGCGGUGUAGCAAGUUAGAAGUGAAAUACCUAGAGCUUAACUCAGGUGCUGCUUCUAAAACUGCUAUACUUGAGUGCAGUAGAG
rnacentral:rRNA from 1 species